UCAAACUGCUGUCUGACCUUUUCCUGUCAACGUAGAGCACUCCACUCUCUCCCCGUGAACCCAGUUGUUUUAAAUCCUACACCUUCACACACCAGCCCUCUCCGAACUCUCCACUUCCCACCUUCUCCUCUUCCCUCCCUCUUGGCCCCUCCCCACUCCUCUGGCCAAUCCUAGGAGUCUCCUAACUCCUCCCCUUUUCCAACCUUCCUCACUCAAGAUGGCUGCCUCGCUGGCAUUCUCUCCCAACAUGGAGGCCUGCCAUACUGUUAUCCAGGCUCCCUUUCUGGCCUACCAGUGAAGAGAAAGGAUAAUAUUUUCCCCUGAUGUCACCAGCAUGCUGCCAGAGAAUCACCUCAUAACUUCAGGUAAUUUGCAGUGCCAGUAUGGGGAGACGGUGCCAUUCAUCUGCAGGAACUGGCAGUCCACCAACGCAAUAGCAGUCUAAAACAGACAUGCUGCCAGUUUUCCAGGAAUUCCUGAAGGAUAAUGGAAUCACACUUUUAGAAACCACUGCCCUUUCCACACAUCCACCUACUGCUUGGCUGAACAAUCUGUUCAACUUUUCAAGAAAGAGGAUUACAAACUGUGAAAGCUUUAAAGGGCACUAUGAGCGUGAAAUUAUGCCAUUUUGCAGUUUAGGCAUACCUUCAUGCAAUUUGUACUUCUAAUUUAGAGAUACAAUUUUAUAGUUUCCUUUCUCCCCUACCACCUCAAUC